rnacentral:lncRNA from 1 species
AAGCAUUUCAUUAUUCUACUUUCUUUUUUUCCUUUCUACACUAAGACCCCUAUCAAACAACUCCCAAUCAAAUUCUCUUCUUCUCCGUCGAUCCGUCUCCAAUUUUUUUUGUUCAAGGAUCCUUCGGAUCAUGUAUGUUCUUGAAUCUUCUUUCAUUGCAUUUCUAGCUAGGAUGUGAGCCAUAUUAUUUGUGGGUCUAUUUGUUUGCUGAAAGAAUAUAUGUUGAAAAAAUUGUUUUUGCUACUGAAUAUUUCGUAUUAUACCCCCUAUCACCGAUCUAUCAGUCUUCUCUGAGUUACUCUUUUUUAUCACUGUUGCUGAGUCUCCUUCGAUGAUAAUUGAUGUAAACCCCAUUUGUUUUCCCAUAAUCAUUGCUUAGAGGCACGCAAGUACCUCUGCUACGAAUGGAGAAGCCACGUCCCUAUGGAUCUCUGUUUUGAAACUAAGUACCUCGAUGCAUCUCUGGCCACCACUCCUGUAAUAGCCCAAAUUUAAGGUUAUCGGAAUAGUGAUUUCGUAACCACAAAUCUAAUUUAAAAAAAAAAUUAUUAUUAAUUUUUAAAAUUUAUCGAGUGAUUAGAUAUAAGUAUUAGAGUAUUGAUAAGAAAUUUUAUUUAUUGCAUGCCUAAAUUGCUUAUUAGGACUUAAUUGCAAAAGUGGGUAAAUAUAAAUUUUAGAUGAUAAAGGAUUUAUUUGAAGUGCAUAAUCAAAGUAGAGGUCUUAAGUAAUAAUUAGACCAUAAAUUUUUUAAAAAUAAUUAAAAUUUUAAUGAAGGGUAUUUUAGUCAUUAAAUAAUAAAAAGAAAAAAAGGGAAAAAAAUGGCAAAAAUAUCAUCUUCUCCAAAAAGUUUGCUGCCAAAAUUUUAAGGACACCAUAGCUAAGGUUUUCACACUUUCUCAAGCUCAUAGUAAGUGAUUUCAAGCCCCAUUUUUAAUAUUUUUUACGUUUUUGAGAUCCCGAUAGCUUAAUUUAACUUAUUCUAACAAUAAUUUAAUCUAGGAUUUAUAUUUGAAAAAAUACCCAUAGGUGGAAAGUGUUUAUUUUGAUGUUUUAAGGUAUAAUAUGAAGCUAGAAAUUAUGUUAAACAACUUUUACUUGUCAAUUUUAAGCGAAAACGAGUAAAAUUUCAUAAUCGGUAAAAUACUGAAUGUUCAUAAGUAGAUGUUAGAGUGAGAAUUUGAUGUUGUCAUAGAAGAGAAAAAUGUUUAGCAUGUUGUAAAACAUAAGAAUAAGAGAUGAAGUUUAAUUUUCGAGCUUUGGGGAAAAAAUGUAAUUAUGUAAAAGUUUAGGGGCAAAAUUGUAAUUUUUCCAAAGUUAAAGUCGAGGGCUUUUUAAUGAAUGUGAGUAUUAAAUAAGUUAAAUUUUCUAUUAUAGAUCACGAAGAACAGAAUUCGAGGUUAGAUUGAGGAAAGAAUAAGAUUGAAGACUAAGUGGUAGAUUUGGCUAUAUUUGGUACCGAGAUAAGUUUAUGGUAAAUAAAUGCAAUAUUUUAAUAAUUGUUAUUAAUAUUGUUAUUUUCCAGCAAUUAUAUAGUUAUUUCAUGAAUUUAUUUAAUGUUGACUCAAGUAUGAGAUGACAGAGAAUUAGUGAUACAAGCCCCAUUGAAACGUUAGGAAUGUAUUGGAUACAAAUGUCAUGACAUUUGGAUAAAGAGAUCCCAUGUAAGACCAUGUCUGGGACAUGGCAUUGGCAUCCUUAAGAUCAUGAGAGGUCUCAUGUAAGACAUGGUCUGGGACAUGGCAUUGGCACCGAGACGAGAGGUCCUAUGUAAGACCAUGUCUGGGACAUGGCGUUGGCACCAAGAUGAGAGGUCCCCCGUAAGACCAUGUCUGGGACAUGGCAUGAGCACCUAUAUGAGAACUCCCAUGUAAGACCAUUUCUGGGAUAUGGCAUUGGCAGUACAAGAAACAUCCUAUGUAAGUCUAUGUAUGGGACAUAGUUUUGGCAUGUUAUAUUCAGACAGGAGACCCGAGUAUCUUUAGUAUUCCAAGUGAUUCAACGGGCUAGUAAAUAGACGAUGUUACAUGAAAGUUCAGGUAAAAGCUUAAUAGACAAGUUCAGGUGAGUUAAUAAGAUUAAGAGUAUCUCAGUUUUCAGUUGAGAAAAUAAAUUUCAGCAACGAAUGAGUAAGUUAAGCAAGCAAGUAAGUAAACGAGUAAGAGAGUAAGUAAAGAAGAAAGUAAAGAUCUUAAUGCUUAAUGAAAAUUUAUGAAUAUAAUUGUUUAUGAUAAAUAUUGUUAUUUAUUUACUUGUAAACUUACUAAGCUUUAUGCUUACUUAUUUUAUUUCUUUUUCUUUCAUAUAAUAUUAUCAAGCAUAGUCGGGAUCUUGAAGACGUCGGAGAGCAUUCACACUAUCAACCACCACAACUCGGUAUUUUAAGACGAUAAAUGUUUUGAGCUAUGGCAUGUAUAGGGACUUGGUCAUUUCGAUUGUAUAUUUUUAAGAUAUGACCAAAAGAUGAUAUAUAAAUAUUUGAUGAUGAAUAGUUAUUAAAAUGGCUAAGUAUGAAGGUGUUUGUUGUUAUACAUGUCUAUGUGAUAAAUUAUGCAUAGAAAUCAUGAAAGAGUAAUAAUUUGCAAAGAAACAGAUUUCAAACAGCAGCGGUGACGUGAUUUUGAAAAAUCACUUAGGAUAGUAUAAAAUUAAUUAGAAGGUGUAUGAUAUAUGUAAUUAAAUAUUGUUGAGUCUAUUUUCAUGGAAAAAUAACGGUUUAGGAAAAAAAAUUUUAUAUUUUGAGAUAUGUGAAUUUUGGUGAGACAGGGUCAGGACCGUUUUUUGAGUCCCCUUUUCUGAGUUUAUAAAAUCACUAAAAAUUGUAAAAAAAAUAUUUAUGAGUUGUAAUUUAUAUGUAUAGAUUUGUUAUUGAGUCUAUUUUUUGUAGAAACAAGUGAGAACAGCAUAUGAAAAUUAUACAAUUAUAAAACUUAUUUUUAGUGGCAAGAGGUCAGGACAGUCGGGUGGUAAAACAUGUGAAACUUUAACUAAUAAACUGUACUAAUUGGUUGAACCAAAAAUUCUAAAAAAAUUAUGGUAAAAAUAUAUAGGAGUCUAGUUUCAGGUAAAAUUUAUGGAUCUAAAUUUUUAGUUUUGUAGCUCGAGUUAUAAUUAAUUUAGUAACUGCUGCGCAAGUGGACAGUUUUGUCAUAAAUAGUGAGAUAAAUUUUAAAAGUAAAUUUUUAUGCCCCGAACUUUUAAGUUAAGUCAAGUAACGCCUCAUGCUUUACUCCAGAAUGGCCUCGGGUAAGGGGUGUUAUAUUUUAUUGGUAUCAGAGCAGGUUUAGCCGGUUAUCGGAAUAUUCAGUAUGAAUAAGAGUCUAGCUAUACAUGCGAUACUUGUAUUUUGAUAGUGUGACGACUCCUGACGAUUUUAAAAUGUGUUCUUUUAUAUUAUGGAUCCUGAACGAGCUGGUGCAGAUGAUGUAGAGAGUAAUGCACCCGCUCCCACAGAAGGGACGGUGCCACAAGAUGUUAGUGAAAGGCCCGUUAUAGUUAGUUAGGGAGGAGGGGCUCGAAAAGCCUUCUUCCAAGCAAUGAAUGAUUGGUUUGUCGAGUUUGUUCGUACGAAUCCGGCU